CCCCUACUUUUUUUCAUUGAUAUUUUCUUCCAGCUAUAGAGUACUUUAGUGUUACAUUUAUAUAUCCAUUCAUUGGAUAGUUUUCACCAGGUUUCAUUAAAGGUUAUAUUUUAUCCUUUUUUUGGUGUUUCACCACAUUCUAUGUUUUCCACCGAGAAAUAAUUGGAAACACAGAACAGAAGGAGACAUAGAGACAACGGG